rnacentral:lncRNA from 1 species
UUUUUUUGGUGUCCUCUCCAUUAAUCGGGCUGAGUUUCAAGCAUCUCCGCUCUGUGCAGUGGUCUCAGCGCUAACUCUUUGCCCCAAACCUCAACUCCUGUCCUCCUGAUGCUCUUGCUGUCGGGUAAAUUUCUAGGUCAGCUAACUCCCCACUUCCACCCCGGGCACGCAGCUGUGAAUCACACUGCAGUGCUCUGGCUUUUGGUCCCUCUUUCUUCCUAGCAUCUGACGGUCUCUGGUUCUUGUGUGCUCAUGUAAGUAUGCGUUUUAAAUAAACUUUGUCAUAUUUUAUCUAACACUUUCAGCAAUAGCUGGAGGCACUUCACAUACGCUGACUCUGCCAAUACUGGAAACCCAGGCUCCAGGGGUUAUUAAAACCAAAAUAACUAGCUCUCCUGGAUGUUAGCUCAUGGUCAAAGUCGGAUGCAGUGGCUAUCAGGCAGAAAAGGUCUUGCUUUUCAUGUGUGAUGACUAGUUAUAGUUUACGGAUGGGCUUCGAUUCUUUACUUAGUGGAUUCCUCAAAACGUGGUUCUGAUACUGAAAUCGUUGCAUGUCAUUCUCUUUCCACUUUUUUCGCUCCCCAGGGAUGGCAGGAAACCUGAGGGGAAUGAAUUCUACGGCAUUUAGAGAGAUGUUUGGCAUAUUCAGACAUGGUUGUUUUAAUCCAAAGUUUAAGAAAGAUGGGGACUGGGAGGGAGACUAUACAAAGAAGACAGGAAGUCAGACUGUCACUGGUGUGGCACGGGUUCGACUCCUGGCCAGGGAAGCUUCACAUGCUGCAGGCGCGGCCACAAGGAAAAAAGGAAGAGAAAGGAGGACGUCGGAACCUCUACUGGACUGUACAGGCAAGGAGACUGGCCUGCCUUGGAGGGUCCGUCCCUGGACCGUCUGGACACAGGCCCGCGUUUGCGAGAUGAAGCCCUCGUGGUUCCCAGACCCGAGUCCACACCCCGCUCUUCCUGUAACCCGUCCAUUAAAUGGAGUUCCGGCCCUUGGACUGUGGAUCCCAAGCUUUUCGCCAUUUUUCCACUGGGGGCGCCUCUGUCCAGUGCAGUCCUUACACUGGCUCAACAGCAGUUGCUCGACAUAUAAAUGGGCGUUAGGCCAGCGGUUUUUUGUUGGCAUGUCUGUAUGCAUGUCCCUCUGUAUGUAUAUGCAUGUGCAUUUUGGCCCCACCGUCAGCGUGCAGAAGUUCCCCGGGCCAGAGAUGGAACCCGUGCCACAGUAG